rnacentral:rRNA from 1 species
GGUUGCGAUCAUACCAGCACUAAUGCACCGGAUCCCAUCAGAACUCCGCAGUUAAGCGUGCUUGGGCGAGAGUAGUGCUAGGAUGGGUGACCCCCUGGGAAGUCCUCGUGUUGCAACCC